ACCAAUUCUAUAUCCCCAAAAAUCUUUCUAAAAUUUGAACGAUCCGUCUCUGUCUCAGUCGAAUCGACUCAACCCCCUCUUAUUGGAUUCCAAGCAGCUGUUCACGUCUCGUUUGUCACGAUAAACAUAUCCGUCGCGUAAAGGCCAUCGAGAGAGUCUCUCCUUCUACCGACCUUCUUCUCCUUCUCCUCACUCUCUCCUACUUGGGUCCCCCGUGGCACACAGGUGUACUGGACGGCGUUCCUCGGCCUCCAUACGCUUUCAGUUAACGCCUGGUCGUCGCUAGGUAUGCCAGCUCCCUCGUGGAUACUGCCAGUUUGCCUGUGAUCCGUUUUACCUGGCUUCGUGACCUGGCUUUGUCUCGAUCAUCUCAAUCAUCCUCGCGUCGAUAUUUCUUUCUUUCUUUCUUUCUUUCUUUUUUUUUCUCUCUCUUUUUCUUUUCCUUUUCUCGGUGGAACUCGGUAGUUUUUGUGAGUGAUUGGGACGGAAGAGGAAACGUGGGAGAAACUUUUAUGUUUAUUUAUGAAACUAAGUGGGUGGCUGGCUCGUGGGAGUUUGACUCAUCGGUGUAUUCUUUUUUUGGAUGAUCCGGAGAUGGAUACAGUCGGGAUUAUUUAAAUUGAGCAACGUUACUCGACGAUUACCACCGCGGUCUCGCUAAUUGCACGCCUCGGCGGAACGUUUUCACAGUUUCGAAAGAUCGCUACCUGGAAUCCCUCGACGAAAUUUUUCCGCUAAUAAACACGAUGUUCCGUGUCGAUAGUAACAUCGAUAAUUGGUUGAAAUUCGACGCUUCCACUCUCGUUCGACGACUCAAAGAUUCGAGAAUUCUUUCGAUGCUACUUGCGUGCGCUCAUUUGCGAAACGAGAUGGCAAUUAUUUAAGCUUGGCGAAUCAAUAGAUGGCGUUCGCACGCUGUAGAAGUAUGGCAAUCACGUAUGAAAGAUACAUGUCCUGAAGAUGUCAAUUAAGGUGAUGAUGAUGAACGAGAAAGCCACCGAAGCGUGAGUGUCUACGCGAGUAACAGUUUUCCGCCUUGGUUCCUAAAACUUUCACGGUUAUUCGCCCGGGCCCCCACAACUUCGUGAGAGAUUGUCUUCUCGUAUAUAGGGAACGAGAGCUGAUGAAUAGCGAACGGAAGUCGAUCGUCUCGUCGGAUCGGAAGCUGUGAACUUAGAACGUUCUCACGAUUCACGAAGGUGAAACGAUGCGGUGAUACCCGAGGAACCCCGCCUCAACACCCGUACAUAUCAAUUCAUAUCUCUGCCCGAUAAACAUCGCCAAACAUCAAUCGACCAAUCAAACGAAGCAUAUCGAAACGCAAUGAAGAGCCAACGA